CAGUAGCCGCGGUAAUACGAAGGGUGCAAGCGUUAAUCGGAAUUACUGGGCGUAAAGCGUGCGUAGGCGGUUUGUUAAGUCUGCUGUGAAAUCCCCGGGCUCAGCCUGGGAAUGGCAGUGGAUACUGGCUCGCUAGAGUGUGUCAGAGGAUGGUGGAAUUCCCGGUGUAGCGGUGAAAUGCGUAGAGAUCGGGAGGAACAUCAGUGGCGAAGGCGGCCAUCUGGGACAACACUGACGCUGAGGCACGAAAGCGUGGGGAGCAAACAGGAUUAGAUACCCCCGUAGUCCCUGUCUCUUAUAC
rnacentral:rRNA from 1 species